UACGUAGGGGGCAAGCGUUGUCCGGAUUUAUUGGGCGUAAAGAGCGUGUAGGCGGCCGCACAGGUCCGUUGUGAAAACUGGAGGCUUAACCUUCAGACGUCGAUGGAAACCGUGCGGCUAGAGUCCGGAAGAGGAGAAUGGAAUUCCUGGUGUAGCGGUGAAAUGCGCAGAGUAUCAGGAGGAACACCGGUGGCGAAGGCGGGUCUCUGGGCCGAUACUGACGCUGGAGGAGCGAAAAGCGUGGGGAGCGAACAGG
rnacentral:rRNA from 1 species